UAGUAACGGCGAGUGAAGCGGCAACAGCUCAAAUUUGAAAUCUGGCGCAAGCCCGAGUUGUAAUUUGUAGAGGAUGCUUCUGGGUAGCGACCGAUCUAAGUUCCUUGGAACAGGACGUCAUAGAGGGUGAGAAUCCCGUAUGUGACCGGCCCGCACCCUUUACGUAGCUCCUUCGACGAGUCGAGUUGUUUGGGAAUGCAGCUCUAAAUGGGAGGUAAAUUUCUUCUAAAGCUAAAUACCGGCCAGAGACCGAUAGCGCACAAGUAGAGUGAUCGAAAGAUGAAAAGUACUUUGGAAAGAGAGUUAAAAAGCACGUGAAAUUGUUGAAAGGGAAGCGCCUGCAACCAGACUUCGUGGCAGUGUUCCGCCGGUCUUCUGACCGGUUUAUUCUCUGUCGCGAGGCCAUCAUCGUCUAGGCCCGCCGGAUAAGACCUUAGGAAUGUAGCUCACCUUCGGGGGAGUGUUAUAGCUUAUGGUGAUGCGGCGAGGCUUGGGCGAGGUCCGCGCUUCGGCAAGGAUGAUGGCGUAAUGGUUGUCGGCGGCCCGUCUUGAAACACGGACCAAGGAGUCUAACAUCUAUGCGAGUGUUCGGGUGUCAAACCCCUACGCGUAAUGAAAGUGAACGGAGGUGGGAACCGCAAGGUGCACCAUCGACCGAUCCUGAUGUCCUCGGAUGGAUUUGAGUAAGAGCAUAGCUGUUGGGACCCGAAAGAUGGUGAACUAUGCCUGAAUAGGGUGAAGCCAGAGGAAACUCUGGUGGAGGCUCGCAGCGGUUCUGACGUGCAAAUCGAUCGUCAAA
rnacentral:rRNA from 1 species